GGUAGAGGCAAACCGUUGGAAGCUGAGCCAUGAGGGCCUAGAAGCAGGGGUGGAAAAGUAUAGAAAGGGGGACAGAGGGAAAGAGUUUGGCCAGGAACUGCCCACACCUGGGAGCAGUCUAGGGGAAUCACCGAGACGCCAACAUCUUCGCCAUGUUGAUAACCAAUGAGCUGAAAUUUAAAGAGAGAGGGAAUGCGUGUCCUUCUAAUACUGGGAAAGAAGAGUAUAAAAGGGCAACAGAUAGCAGUUGAUUGGUUGAUGUCCAUCAGCGGGAUGAAGAAAGAAAAAUCUCAGAUGGUUGCAAAAAAUCUAUACAGGAAUAUUCAUCACAGUAUGACCAGGCAAAUCUGUAUCUUCUCUUCUAUCCAGAGUGAAAACAUCUACUGUUCCCCGUGGAAUCUAAUACACAGCGAGAUCUAAUGAAACCAUUGUUUCAGAAUGAGAUCCCCUCACAUCUCUCUCUCAUCUAUCAUCUAUCUACCCACAAUGGAUCUAUGUAUUCACAAUAUGCACAUAUAUUAAAUGAAGCCCAUCAUAUAUAGUGGAUAAUAUAUAUGUGCUAUAUCUUAUACAUAUAUAAUAGAAUAUAUGAAAUAAUGUGACAUAUGCACAACAGCUGCUAAGGAAUGAAUGAGAGAAUGAAUUCUUAUUCCUAACAGGAAUAUUUAAACCAGAUGAUUCAUCUCUUGGCAAGUCUUCUGCUCCUUUAAAGCCUAAUGCCGUGACCCUUUAAUACAGUUCCUAAUGUUGUGGAGACCCCCCAACCAUAAAUUACUCUCAUUGCUAUUCAUAACUGUAAUUUUGUCACUGUUAUGAAUUGCAAUGUAUACAUCUGUAUAUGUCUUAGAUGACCCCUGUGAAGAGGUCAUUUGACUCCCAAAGGGGUUGUGACCUGCAUUUUGAGAAAUGCUGUUCUAGAUUGUGACGAAACACAGCCACAUACCUUUACCUGAAUAAUUUUAUAGAAACAUAUACAAGUUUUUGUAUUAUAAAUAUCCAUAAUGUACAAAGUGUAAUUUGGAAACAUGUAUCAGAAGUUGGUUCCUGCCUCUGGGAGAGGCAGGUAGCGGCUGUAGCAACUUGAGAAAGACUGACACUUCCUGUCUUUCUUUACGUAGUUGGAAAUUUUGGAUUGGGUACAUUUUCAUCACCGAAUGACAUACACAUAGAAAAAGUAUAUCACCUAACAAGAUUUUAAGUGCAUAUGCUUUUUGAUUCAAAUAUUUCUCUCCCGAGAAUAAUAUCCUGCAAACGCAUCC
ensembl:lncRNA LOC102550221 uncharacterized LOC102550221